rfam:Asian citrus Psyllid, Diaphorina citri - Florida Strain, whole genome shotgun sequence.
CGCCGCGGCGAUAGUACGUUGAAUGCACUAGUUCCCUAUGGAUCACUGAAGUUAAGCAACGUUGCGCGUGUUUGGUAUCCGGAUGGGUGACCUUCUGGGUAAUUUCAUGCUGCUGGUU